AUUGAACGCUGGCGGCAGGCCUAACACAUGCAAGUCGAACGAGUGGCGGACGGGUGAGGAAUGUCUGGGAAACUGCCUGAUGGAGGGGGAUAACUACUGGAAACGGUAGCUAAUACCGCAUACCAUCAGAUGUGCCAAGAUGGGAUUAGCUAGUGGGUGGGGUAACGGCUCACAAAUGCGACUAUCCCUAGCUGGUCUGAGAGGAUGACCCGCCACACGUGAACUGAGACACGUUCCAGACUCCUACGGGAGUCAGCAGUGGGGAAUAUUGCACAAUGGGCGCAAGCCUGAUGCAGCCAUGCCGCGUGUAUGAAGAAGGCCUUCGGGUUGUAAAGUACUUUCAGCGGUGAGGCGUUACCCGCAGAAGAAGCACCGGCUAACUCCGUGCCAGCAGCCGCGGUAAUAC
rnacentral:rRNA from 1 species